rnacentral:rRNA from 1 species
UACAGAGGGUGCGAGCGUUGUCCGGAAUCACUGGGCGUAAAGGGCGCGUAGGCGGUCCGGUAAGCGCGUGGUGAAAGCUCGGGGCUCAACCCCGAGUCGGCCGUGCGAACUGCGGGACUGGAGCAGAUCAGAGGCAGGCGGAAUUCCGGGUGUAGCGGUGGAAUGCGUAGAGAUCCGGAAGAACACCGGUGGCGAAGGCGGCCUGCUGGGAUCUUGCUGACGCUGAGGCGCGACAGCGUGGGGGAGCAAACAGG